GUCCCUCCACACAUGGCCGCCUUCGUCCGUCUCCCAGAGUCCGUCGGACCCGCAACGCCUACGCACCGAUCCCUGAGACACUGGGAGAGGAAUAAAUCAGGAAGCAUUCAUUAUCUGGACAAUCGCUGCAUAUAGAUGGAGCCUGGAAGGGCAAAAAUACAGCAAGCAAACAAAGUUUAGAGACAGCAGAUGUCUUAGUUCAUUUGGAAAUACUAUAAAAUAUACUACACACACCAUCCCUGCAUGUCCAUUAGACACAGGUCUGGACAAUAAAUCAAUAACAAUAUAUAUUGUGAUAGACACAUGAUCAAUCAAUAGAUAACACAUCUGAUAGAAUAUUCUAUAAACCUGGAACAUUCCAGGUUGGUGGAAUCUACUGACUCACUCCCUCUCUGGUUGCCUAGCAACCUGCUGGGUAAGAAGCAGUUUCAAGUUCCCCCAAACUUCGGUUACCUAGCAACAACCUGCUGAAUAACUGGAGCAGCUGCAGUUUAACGUCU